GCGGAGGAAAAGAAACCAACCGGGAUCAUGCCUUAGUAACGGCGAGUGAAGCGGCAAAAGCUCAAAUUUGAAAUCUGGUACCUUCGGUGCCCGAGUUGUAAUUUGGAGAGGGCAACUUUGGGGCCGUUCCUUGUCUAUGUUCCUUGGAACAGGACGUCAUAGAGGGUGAGAAUCCCGUGUGGCGAGGAGUGCGGUUCUUUGUAAAGUGCCUUCGAAGAGUCGAGUUGUUUGGGAAUGCAGCUCUAAGUGGGUGGUAAAUUCCAUCUAAAGCUAAAUAUUGGCGAGAGACCGAUAGCGAACAAGUACAGUGAUGGAAAGAUGAAAAGAACUUUGAAAAGAGAGUGAAAAAGUACGUGAAAUUGUUGAAAGGGAAGGGCAUUUGAUCAGACAUGGUGUUUUGUGCCCUCUGCUCCUUGUGGGUAGGGGAAUCUCGCAUUUCACUGGGCCAGCAUCAGUUUUGGUGGCAGGAUAAAUCCAUAGGAAUGUAGCUUGCCUCGGUAAGUAUUAUAGCCUGUGGGAAUACUGCCAGCUGGGACUGAGGACUGCGACGUAAGUCAAGGAUGCUGGCAUAAUGGUUAUAUGCCGCCCGUC
rnacentral:rRNA from 1 species